ACCCUUCUGAGUAAUACCCCUCCCCACCCUCCCGCUAUAUAUAAGGGUCUGGUGACUUCUGUUUCAGGUUAUCUGAAGAGGUGUGCAUGCACACGAAAGCUCAUACCAAUAACAAACUUAGUUGGUCUCUAAUGUGCUACUGGAAGGAUUUUUUAAAUUUUGUUUCGACUACGGCAGACCAACACGGCUACCUACCUGUUACUGGAUUACUGUUUUUACAUCUUGAAUAACGAUCCUUCACAGAAUGCAACUUCAUGCAUAAACCAAUAUCCCCAAUUGAGAGCUUUGUUCUGCUUUCUCCCUGGGUUCAUCUCUUAACAUAAUGUUGGUCAUCCCCUUAGCUUUCCUGGACCAUAAAACUGGUUAUUUACCAGAUUGGGGUAGUGAAAAAGCUUUCUUGUUGAACCUUUCUGUGUUCUCAGUGAAAGCACUCAGGGUACAGUCAAAUGCAGCUAUACUUUGAAAUUAAGUCUCACUGUCUUGCUCGUCAAAUGUAUGUAUUAGAACUUGAAUUAAACUAAAUUUGUGAUUGCACAUUGAUCAAAAUGUUACAACAGUAUCACAAACUCCCUCAUCCAAUUUUGCAUCAGAACUUUGCUACCAAUGCUAAAUAUUUUCUCUUGGUUAGAUGGCAAGGUACCCUAGAAUAACUUUUUUUGUCACUUGGUGACACAGUUGCUGCUUGGGAAGCACUUCUUUCUGCCUUCUGCUGAGCUAAGCAAUAAUGUAAAACCUACUUCUUAGAUCAGCUUUAUUCUAGGAUAAAAACCACACAGAAAUGUUUCUCUUUUUGAUUUCCCUAUUGAAUGUACUCCUACAAUUAAACUGUAAAGUGUGAAGAUUUUGGUAUCUACUAAGAUCAGCCUUUCGGAUUCUGAAAGUUAAAAAUGGAUUUAUCACAUGUCUAAAAUGCUGAUAUCGGAAUUCUCACAUUGCAAGGCUGCUGUCCCUAGGGAGCCGCAGGCAGCUGCUAAGGAGUGAUAGAAAUCCUUUCCUUAUGCUUCUCUUUGCUGCCCCAUCUCGUAUUUUUGCGCCUGAGUUCGGUAGAUGAGGAAACGGCAAAACCUGAAAAAUGCCUUGCAAAUGAUUCCCCCCCCAUUAAAGUAUUUAAUUGCAUGAUUCUCAGUUGCAUUAACUAAACAAUAGCAAGUUGUUUCUCAAAUUGUAUAACCCUGAGAGCCUUCUCUACCCAGGUACAAGUUGAUUAACAGGUCAACACUCGCAUUUGAAGUUCAUGUUCCUGUCCUAAGAAAAUGGACAGGCUUUUUUUAGUCUUCCCUGUAUAGGUUGUGCACUGACAAACAGGAACUAGGCAUUUUACCCCUUUCUGGUUUGUUGAUUGCACUAUUUAUGCUUCACUAGGCCAAACACACCCAGAGUACCACUUCACACAUUCUCAAAAGGAGUUGAUAAAAGAUACAGCUUUGCAUAAAAUUUGUGCAUGCUGAUUUAUAGGUGCCAAUCCACUAUAAGAAAUACACUACAUUUUGCCAUAGUGGGGAAGACUGGCACCAGGUAGCUUCUGUCCCUGCUAAGUCUGUUGCGCAUGUGUUAAACGUUUCAUGGGCAUCUUCAGUUCUCCCUUAUAGUUCCUCAUCAACACUUGGAUCCCUCAAAAUAGAGACUGUCCUUUGAAAACUAGGAUACAUGGUGAUCCUGAAUACAACUCAUCCUCUGAAUAUGAGAGCCUACCAGGGCUUAAUGAACUUAGGAAGGGGCAGUUGUAAGCAAGGCGUACCACCACCCAGGAAUUUAAAAAAAGAAUUCCAAAUUGGAAUUGGCCACAAUUACAAAGCUUGCUGUAAACAUUUGUUCACAAAUAGACCUGAAGUCUCACUGGUAUGAAGAAGUACAGUCUCUUAUACUCUCAUCUAAAUUUACCUGUCAAGCGGAAAAUCCAGCAGAGAAUUGUAGCUUUACUUGAUUGUUAUGCAACUCAGGCCCAGGCUUCCUAGAACAUGUCUAAUGAAGCAGUCCUUUAUGUAUGCAGAAGCUCCUCUUACAAAAUAAAUCUGGAGAACUAGGGCAAAACUC